UACGUAGGGGGCUAGCGUUGUCCGGAAUCAUUGGGCGUAAAGAGCGUGUAGGCGGCUCGGUAAGUCCGCUGUGAAAGUCGGGGGCUCAACCCUCGAAUGCCGGUGGAUACUGUCGAGCUAGAGUGCGGAAGAGGCGAGUGGAAUUCCUGGUGUAGCGGUGAAAUGCGCAGAUAUCAGGAGGAACACCGGUGGCGAAGGCGGUUCUCUGGGCCUGACCUGACGCUGAGGAGCGAAAGCGUGGGGAGCGAACAGG
rnacentral:rRNA from 1 species